ACUCACAAUAAAUUUGAUAAUACUCAUAUAGAUUGAAAAUAUUUGAAGUUUUUUACUUUGAGUAGCAAUUUACAAAAAUUCUCUAUAGAAUAGUUGAAGAGAAGAAAUGGCAAUACAAAUGUUAAAAGGCAGUGCAAUUAAAAGAGUAGCUAAUAGAAACAAGCAGACCAUUUCAAGAAGCGUUUCAAAACUAUUGAUUAUGGGCAAUCAUCCAAUUAAAUCAAAAAUGGUAUAUAGCUUAUAGUCUUGGUAUCAUGAAUUUUAUCAAUACCACAAGCAAUACAUUUUCAAUGUCUUUCAUCUAAAAUGACAACAAAUUAGAGAGUUUUGAAUCAGCACUAUAGUAC
rnacentral:lncRNA from 1 species